GUGCUUGCUUUGGCAGCACAUACACAAAAUUGGAAUGAUACAGAGAAGAUUAGCGUGACUCCUGCACAAAGAUGACACGCAAAUUUGGUUUGGUGUCAUAUAUACAG